AGAGUUUGAUCAUGGCUCAGGAUGAACGCUAGCUACAGGCUUAACACAUGCAAGUCGAGGGGAAACGACAUCGAAAGCUUGCUUUUGAUGGGCGUCGACCGGCGCACGGGUGAGUAACGCGUAUCCAACCUGCCCACCACUUGGGGAUAACCUUGCGAAAGUAAGACUAAAUACCCAAUGACGUCUCUAGAAGACAUCUGAAAGAGAUUAAAGAUUUAUCGGUGAUGGAUGGGGAUGCGUCUGAUUAGCUUGUUGGCGGGGUAACGGCCACCAAGGCGACGAUCGAGUAGGGGUUCUGAGAGGAAGGUCCCCCANACUUGGAACUGAGACACGGUCCAAACUCCUACGGGAGGCA
rnacentral:rRNA from 1 species